AGUGAACGCUGGCGGUAGGCCUAACACAUGCAAGUCGAACGGCAGCACAGUAAGAGCUUGCUCUUACGGGUGGCGAGUGGCGGACGGGUGAGGAAUACAUCGGAAUCUACUUUUUCGUGGGGGAUAACGUAGGGAAACUUACGCUAAUACCGCAUACGACCUACGGGUGAAAGCAGGGGAUCUUCGGACCUUGCGCGAUUGAAUGAGCCGAUGUCGGAUUAGCUAGUUGGCGGGGUAAAGGCCCACCAAGGCGACGAUCCGUAGCUGGUCUGAGAGGAUGAUCAGCCACACUGGAACUGAGACACGGUCCAGACUCCUACGGGGAGCAGCAGUGGGGAAUAUUGGACAAUGGGCGCAAGCCUGAUCAAACCAUACCGCGUGGGUGAAGAAGGCGUUCGGGUUGUAAAGCCCUUUUGUUGGGAAAGAAAAGCAGCAGGUUAAUACCCCGCUGUUCUGACGGUACCGAAAGAAUAAGCAACGGCUAACUUCGUG
rnacentral:rRNA from 1 species